UCACCAAUCUAGAAUAUAGGGUACAUCCACAAGUAACAAAUAGUCUAAGCAGCAAGCUCACACUAUGAAUUAUACUCUAAUCUAUUGUAGUAGACUAAAGCACUCAAAAGAGCCUUGCAGACCAGAAGAAUAAAUACAAGCAACACUUACUUCAAUAAGAACUCGAUUACCAGAGAAAUCUCAGAUGUAGGUUGACUUUUGCCAAGGUACAAGCCA
rnacentral:lncRNA from 1 species